ACUGUGUUAGGUGAUGAAAAGAAGAGGAAAGAAGGAUCAUUUGUCCGGAGACAGUAAAAUAAGCUGCCUAGUGCAGGUCUGGUGUUUCACACUUCUAGCGUUGUAUUGUUCCAUCACGAGAAGAAACCAUUAGUAGAUACACUCAAAGAUUAGGACAGAUUC